CCCAGUAACGACGUUUUCUUCGGUUUUGACUUAAUAAUUGCCACAUCAUAAAAUCAUCGUCAUCAGAAGACGAGGAAAUGGCUACAAAUGCGGAACAGAACUAAGUCCUGAUGUGCGUGCUUGUACUGCAUUUGUGGCAAAUGUACAAAAUGUUGAACGAAAUUAUGUCGAAAGACAAAUGUGGCGCCACAUUUGUAACAUAGGUGUGCGGCCGGCUUUAUAAAGUAUGAUAAUAAUUUUGAAAUUGAUAUAUGCCUUGAUUGACAUUUAAAUGAUAAUAUUUAAGGCAAUUUUAAUUUAAAAUUAUGUUCGUCAACACUCAGUAAUCAUCUUUUGGUUUGAUUAAAAAUACUUUACAGUAUCCCAAUAUCAAAAAAUACUUGAUCAAGAUAUAGGGACUCGUUUUCAAUAUGGCUGACCGUCGGGCGGCACCGACUUAAUCACUCACGUUUUCGUUAUAAAGCCAGAUAACCAAUAUUUGAAGUUUGAACGGCAGUGGCGGUUCGUGGAUUUUUAAUAUAGGGGGGAUGCAAGUAAGUAAUUGAAAUGAAGGAUAAAAAAAGGGCGGCAUAGACGAUCCUCCUGAGGCUAAAAGAAGUAAUUCUCAUCAUUCAUUAUCAACCUGGGUUAACCGUUUACUGACAGUACAUCUGCAUACAAAAAAGAGAUUAUAACGUGAGUGAUCAUUGAUGCUGAAUUUUUUAUGCUGUUGUAAUUUAAUAAAAAAACAUUUCUAGAUUAUAAAUAAAAAAAGCUAGUUAAAAAAAUA